CUCCCCUCAUGGCUUCCCACCCUCAGAAAUCCUCAAAAGGGUGGGAAGCUGCGUGGUGCGCCUACUUCUCGCUCUUUUGAGGGCUUCCGAGGGUGUGCAGCUGCGAGGGGACGGUGUUCCCACACUUUGAGAGGUCUCUUGGCCCCUUUCCUCAGGGCUGGUCGGCUGUGAGGGUGCAGCGGAGCGCUGGCUCCUCAGGGCUGCCGAGCGGUGCUGGCGUUCUCCCGGAGGGUUGGGGGGUCUUUCCUGGCCCUGAACGCAGAGUGCUUGGGAAGAGCUCCCUCCCUCACCUUCCUCAGGAAAGUAAAAUUUGGUGGUUUAAGUAGAGUAGCGUUCUGAGGGGCUGUUCAUGGCCGAUCCGUGUCGCCUCCUUGCCUCCUCUUGCGGCUGCUUUUCUUUCGGCUGUGGCUCUGGGUGAGAGUGCCUGCUUUCAAAGAGCUCACUUGGCUUUUCAGGAGAAUCCUGCUUCGUGCCUAUUCAAGGCACCUUUUACAGCCUCUGCUGGCCUGCAGUUCUCAAUAAAAGCACAGGAGGCAGUGAGUUUGUCCCAUGACAUUCAGAACAGCUGAGGUUUGACCCCCAUGCUUUACUGAAAGUGUGUCCUGUGUUUCCUUGCCUUAUUCAUGCUGUAAUUUUGUGUGUAUAUAACAGCAGUAAAUCCACAGUGUCACUGUAAAAUGUCUCUGGUAGGUGCCAACUUCACCAUUUUCAGGCGCUGUCUAUGUUGCUGUGCCACUGAAAGAAGCUGAUACCUAGAUACCAGAGACAGGGUAAAGGAGCUCCUGUGUGAUCUUCCAGUCCCUUUAGAUCUUAUAGGAAGGAUGUGACAUGUUCAAAUUAUACUGCUGCUCUGGUGAUCUUUGGCUUUCAGGAUCUGCUUCAGCAACUUGGAGUAGCGCAAGAGCUGAACGCUGCCCACCUCAGCCUAAAUCACAGAUGUGUGCCUACAUAUUGGCAAUAAUAAUUAUGAGACAUUUCUUGCUAUAGUAAAAGAGAGUGGAUAUAGCACCCUUUGAAUGCAGUCUGUGCAAGAACAAUUUAAAAUAAAUUAUUCUUUCUAUCACAGAAGAAAAUGGUAACAAAAAAUGAACACAUUUCACAAUAUUUUCCUUGUUACUGGUUCCUGUGAAUAAUUUUGAAUCAAUGCUAACAACUGAGUGUUAGAAGACAUGACAAAAUUCUACUAAGAUCCUGGUGGGUUUCACAAGAAAGAAUUUUAUAGUUAAUAAGAUAAAGUGUAUAGUAAAAUUAGCUUGCCCUACAGCAAUUUCCAUUACAAUUAGGUGUCAUUAUUAAUGCAGUGUUGAAACAGUUUGCAUAAGAAAUCCAGAGAAUUAAUAUUUUAUUGUCACUAAUACACUUUGAUUUCAGUGCAUGUUUUUCUGACUGGAGCAAGGGAAGAGUAGUUUUUAACAGUGUUUCUUCCAUAUGAGUAGGCAAAUAUUAAUCACUUUCUCAGGAAACCCCCAGGGGAACGUGCACAUGGUCAAAGCUUAUUUUCAGACUUCUUUCUCAUUCAGGUUUGUUCUGAUUAACAUCAUGUGAGCCUUUUCCUGUAAAUUCAGCAUGUAAAAUCUUGUUCUGCCAAAGCUCAAGGCACAAAAUCCCUGGUUAUAUUUGGAAUGAAAUUCUGACCCUAUUAAUAAUCAAAGGUUUGAAAAAUGCCCAUGUGCUGAAUGUGAUCCGAACAUAGAAGCUCAUUCCACAUAACUAAUUCCUAACAGCUCAUCACUGGAGUCCUUUUCAGUAGCUGGAGGCCACCCAGCCUCAGGAAACCUUCACCUGUGUAACUUUAUCAAAGCAGUCACGUGGACUUUGGUGAUUACUCACAGUGGCUGAUGGAAUUUGACACAGUAAAGGAAUCUGUCAAAUAAAAAUCACAGCAGAAGGGAGUGGUUUUGUAUUUCAGAGUAGAGCUAAGGCAGAGAGAUUGGUGUGCUUUGCUGCUGGAUGUAUAAAAGCUGGAACCUGGCUAUGGAAAGCAUCAGCAGAAACUAAACUCGUUGUGAAACCACAGAAAUGGAUUAAUGACUAUGAUCCCUACAAACCCCUGACUUAAAAACAGGCACAAAACUUGUUUGAGGUCAGUGAGUCAGUGGAAGAAAUAGUCUGAUAGUGUUGUUGUUUUACAUGAUUCAUUUAUUCGUCACAGAUACUUCAAGUGUUUCCUUUCUUGCUGGGUAUUUUGCGUUAAGAUGACUUGGAAGUAGUGUUAGCUCUGCAAUUACCUUCUCUGAUCACCAAUAAAAACAACAGUUUUAUGUCCUACAGUAAUUUCCAUGAAGCUAUGAUUUCAUAGCUAUUUAACUGUAAGACUAGUUAGUAAGGCAUUGUUUAUUGAAUUCUACUGCAGCCAUAAAGAAGGCUAUUUGUUUGAAAGAUAAAAAUGCUAUUGCUUUGAGUUGCCAUUGAAGAGAGAAUACCUUAUCACUGCAGCUGUAACUACAAUAUUUACUCUCCAAAAAAUCCUUUGCUACUUUCCCUCUUUAGUUUUUUCUAAGCUGAUAUAAAAAUAAGUAACAUUCGGAGGUU